rnacentral:tRNA from 1 species
GCCUGGGUAGCUCAGUGGUUGAGCAUCUGCCUUUAGCUCAGGGCGUGGUCCCAGGAUUGAGUCCUGCAUCAGGCU